CCCAGACUCCUACGGGAGGCAGCAGUGGGGGAUAUUGCACAAUGGGGGGAACCCUGAUGCAGCGACGCCGCGUGGGUGAAGGAGCGUUUCGGCGCGUAAAGCCCUCUCGGCAGGGAAGAAGGAGGACGGUACCUGACUAAGAAGCCCCGGCUAACUACGUGCCAGCAGCCGCGGUAAUACGUAGGGGGCAAGCGUUAUCCGGAUUUACUGGGUGUAAAGGGGGCGCAGACGGCAGCGCAAGCCAGGAGUGAAAGCCCGGGGCCCAACCCCGGGACUGCUCUUGGAACUGCGCGGCUGGAGUGCAGGAGGGGCAGGCGGAAUUCCUGGUGUAGCGGUGAAAUGCGUAGAUAUCAGGAGGAACACCGGUGGCGAAGGCGGCCUGCUGGACUGCGACUGACGUUGAGGCCCGAAAGCGUAGGGAGCAAACAGGAUUAGAUACCCGCGUA
rnacentral:rRNA from 1 species